AGUUUGUGUUUGUGCGUGUGUUUUAAUGUACGUUUGUGUCGUAUAUUUUCGUCCUUAAAUUAAAAAUCGCGAAGCAUAAGCAAAUGUAACUCGAAACUACUGCUGAUAUCACAAUAACAAUAUCACUAACUACAACAAGAAGAAAAGAAAUAAUUGAUAACGUUACGCAAUAAGUAGUUUAUGAGUUCAUUGCUGAAGAAACUAAAUCUAAAAAAUAAUAAAAAAUUACUGUUAAAGUUGAUAGAAGAUUCCAGUUAGAGAAAGAAAAAAAGAAGAGUUCUAAUGACUGAAACGUACUGAGGAAAAUUCUAGACGAAAUCUUCAUCUCAAUUCAUCCCAUCCAAAUUUUGACUGAGUCGCAGGAAUCCGCUGACUUGUCCAAUAUUCACACUUCCCGGAAGGUAAGUCUUUAAACAAUAUUAUCGUCCAUGCCAUCUGGGAAUGC